rnacentral:rRNA from 1 species
AACGAACGCUGGCGGCAUGCCUAACACAUGCAAGUCGAACGAGACCUUCGGGUCUAGUGGCGCACGGGUGCGUAACGCGUGGGAACCUGCCCUUAGGUUCGGAAUAACUCCCCGAAAGGGGUGCUAAUACCGGAUAAUGUCUUCGGACCAAAGAUUUAUCGCCUUUGGAUGGGCCCGCGUUGGAUUAGCUAGUUGGUAGGGUAAAAGCCUACCAAGGCGACGAUCCAUAGCUGGUCUGAGAGGAUGAUCAGCCACACUGGGACUGAGACACGGCCCAGACUCCUACGGGAGGCAGCAGUAGGGAAUAUUGGACGAUGGGCGAAAGCCUGAUCCAGCAAUGCCGCGUGAGUGAUGAAGGCCUUAGGGUUGUAAAGCUCUUUUACCCGGGAUGAUAAUGACAGUACCGGGAGAAUAAGCUCCGGCUAACUCCGUG